rnacentral:lncRNA from 1 species
CUGUGUGGGAGCUCGCUGUUGAUUUAAAGGCAGAGAGAACAUCAUGGGAGCCAGAGUGGAAAAGUUACAGGAGGAUCUAGAAGGCACCCACUUUAGACCAAGCUCCUGGAAGGCAAGACCCUUGGCUCAUUCUUUACCUAUUGUGGCCCCUGGAAGCUCCAAAAAGAACUUUGCAAAAUAA